GGGCCUGUAGCUUAGCCCGGUGGAGCGAUUGGCUCAUAACCAAUUGGUCGCCGGUUCGAAUCCGGCCAGGCCCA
rnacentral:tRNA from 1 species